AGUUUCACAGAAUACCAAGGCUUGGUGGUGACGAGCUCAGAGCUUCUUUUCAGCAGAAAAUCGAAAGUUACACUGAACAACGGUUCGCUGAGUUUUACAAGCAAAACGAGAGAAAGCGAGUGGAUUAUAUCAUAAAUGCCAAUUUGCUCAAUGAAAGACUAAGCGAAGAAAUAAAUGGAUCAGUCCAAAGAAAAAUGAUGGAAGAAAUACAAAACUCCAGUUCUGAAUUGAACCAUUCUUACUUGAAUGUUAUGUUUCAGUCAGCAAAAGAGAGUGCUUUACAAGAGUUUGAUUCUCGGAAGAUGGGUGACUCUGACUUCGCAAAGAACUCUCGUGAGCGACUUAAAUAUGACUUGAACGAUUUGCAACAUGCGCUGAGCUACGUGCUGAAUUUAUAUGACCAUUGUUUGCAACAGUACAGCAACUCAAUGUGGCAUUCUCUCAAUGAAAUCGAGUAUUUUGACGAGGAUGGUUUCAGGAUACUGUAUCAAAACUCGAAGAAUGAAUCCAUUCAACGGGUUUGUUUUACAAUUGUCUAUCUUUA